rnacentral:rRNA from 1 species
CCUACGGGAGGCAGCAGUGGGGAAUAUUGGGCAAUGGGCGCAAGCCUGACCCAGCAAUGCCGCGUGUAGGAAGAAGGCUUUCGGGUUGUAAACUUCUUUGACAGGGGAGGAGCAGAAGACGGUUCCUUGCAAUCAACCUUCGGCUAACUACGUGCCAGCAGCCGCGGUAAUACGUAGGGGGCAAGCGUUGUCCGGAUUUACUGGGUGUAAAGAGCGUGUAGCCGGGAAGGCAAGUCAGAUGUGAAAUCUGGAGGCUCAACCUCCAAAUUGCAUUUGAAACUGUUUAUCUUGAGUACUGGAGAGGCAGGCGGAAGGCCAUGUGUAGCGGUGAAAUGCGUAGAGAUAAGGAGGAACACCAGUGGCGAAGGCGGUCUGCUGGACAGCAACUGACGGUGAGGCGCGAAAGCGUGGGGAGCAAACAGGAUUAGAUACCCGAGUAGUC